rnacentral:rRNA from 1 species
ACCCGCACAAGCGGUGGAUGAUGUGGAUUAAUUCGAUGCAACGCGAAGAACCUUACCUACCCUUGACAUGUCCGGAACUUGCCAGAGAUGGCUUGGUGCCCGAAAGGGAAUCGGAACACAGGUGCUGCAUGGCUGUCGUCAGCUCGUGUCGUGAGGUGUUGGGUUAAGUCCCGCAACGAGCGCAACCCUUAUCCCCAGUUGCCAUCAGGUAAAGCUGGGAACUCUGGGGAGACUGCCGGUGAUAAACCGGAGGAAGGCGGGGAUGACGUCAAGUCCUCAUGGCCCUUACAUCCCGGGCUACACACGUGCUACAAUGGCAGGUACAGAGGGCUGCGAAGCCGCGAGGUGGAGCGAAUCCCAGAAAACCUGUCUCAGUCCGGAUUGAAGUCUGCAACUCGACUUCAUGAAGGCGGAAUCGCUAGUAACCGCGAAUCAGCAGGUCGCGGUCGAAUACGUUCCCGGGCCUU